AACAUUCAGACAACACGUUGACUGACCCAUAAUUGUAGAGGGUGUGGAAAAUUGUUUAGCUUUGCUGUCCUCGAAGUGUUUACAUUUUGACAAUCGAAUCGCUGGAAAACCCACAGUCACAAAUACUAUCCGCAGACGAAAUGAACCUAACCACUGUUCGCAACGGCGGCGCGGUAAGUCCAAUCAUCCGCGAAAUAGAAUCGGACAAAACCACGGCCAAAUGGGCUAGUCGCUGGCAGACAUUCAAUGGCCACGGAUCGUGGUUGGCGCAAAAAUCGCUCGCUCGAAAAAUUUCCCCGAUCGUGCAUCCUACGUCAGUCGACGACGCCGCAAACGAAUGGAGAAGACUUCCUACUAUUAGCUCUAGUGUGCCGUCGUUGUGAUAAUUUUGGAAACGCACGUGGUCAAUAAAGUUCGCCGCCAUCAACUCGAGAGCAGUUUGAAAGAAAUUUUAACGACCACCCCAAAAUGGGUAACGUCAGUAAUCCCAAGCAGUAUACCAAGUACAGUAAAAAUACCACCGGUUGCAAAGUUCGAAAGUGCGUGCCGGUCCAGCGCAGUAUGUUCCGCCUGGGCACAGGAAAUCUAUUCAAGCUCAUCCUGAUUAAAAUCAUCACCAUUUUGAACAAUAUUGUGAACAAAAUACUAUAGUGGAUGAAGAAAGAAUCCUUAAUUAUGGCUUCCUUCCGAUUGGUGUUGUAAAACGGAUUAUUACUCUCCGGUGGUUAUUUUUACUUGGAAACAAAUUUGAAUCCGGUUGAAUGUAUGGAACAACAUGUGAACCAUUAGCACAAAUUAAAAAAGUGAUUCGUUGAUCACAGUGUAUCGUUUAGAUGUGACAUCACACAGUGACUAGCGGCUACAACGAUGCCGCUGAUACAGUUUGAUGACAUGUUUCAAACCUAAAGCUGUUGGCAAUCAACCAACAUCGAACGGCUAAUCGGAAAUUUAUCGACGCAUUCAUUGACUGUCAGUUGCAUGCGCGGGGUGCAGUAAAGGAAGUGCUUUAUAUCGUGUAGAGUAAUAAAAAAUAAUAGGAUAACGUUCUGCUCUACAGCCAGAGCGCUGGAAACUCAAAAUUUUUUGAACUGUUAUAUCUGUUAUAUUAGUACCAGCUGGCCGUCCCAUGGGGUGUGAAAGUCGUAAAUUCUCACGAUUUCCCACUAAAACGCUUGGGAGGAAAUGCGGUACAAUGGUUACACCCGCUGGAGACAGGAGGCCUGCAUACGGGAUAUGGUUUAUUCCUUCAUUGCGCUGAUAGUUAUCUUGUGCUGGUGGUUUUAAUGCACUCAAAAGAUGUAUUAUAAAAUAGAUUAUACUCACUUGUCCCGUUUGAACUGUUGGUUCGCCUCGAAGAAGCAAACUUCAUCGUUGGUGUAGCACUGAUCGAUGGUUGGCACACGGCGGAAUUGCUGGUGAUACCAGGGGUAAGUUUUACGAUUCGGUUCCACAACAGUUUCUACAAAACGAUAAACAGUUUUAGUAACAAUUUCUUCCAAUCAAAGGUUAAGGCAACAUUAUGUAAUGAUAAACUAGGUAGCUAUGCUCAGGUCUUUUAUUUUAAAUAUUAAAUUUGAAAUGAAAUUACCUACAUGAAA